rnacentral:rRNA from 1 species
CACGUAGGGGGCGAGCGUUGUCCGGAAUCAUUGGGCGUAAAGAGCUCGUAGGCGGCUCAGUAAGUCGGGUGUGAAACCCCCAGGCUCAACCUGGGGACGCCACCCGAUACUGCUGUGGCUAGAGUCCAGUAGGGGAGUGUGGAAUUCCCGGUGUAGCGGUGAAAUGCGCAGAUAUCGGGAGGAACACCAGCGGCGAAGGCGGGUUGCUGGGCUGACACUGACGCUGAUGCGCGAAAGCCAGGGGAGCGAACGGG